GAUGAAGAACGUAGUGAAAUGCGAUAAGUAAUGUGAAUUGCAGAAUUCAGUGAAUCAUCGAAUCUUUGAACGCACAUUGCGCCCCCUGGUAUUCCGGGGGGCAUGCCUGUCCGAGCGUCAUUACAACCCUCAAGCUCAGCUUGGUGUUGGGCCCCGCCGCCCCGGCGGGCCCUAAAGUCAGUGGCGGUGCCGUCCGGCUCCGAGCGUAGUAAUUCUUCUCGCUCUGGAGGUCCGGUCGUGUGCUCGCCAGCAACCCCCAAUUUUUUUCAGGUUGACCUCGGAUCAGGUAGGGAUACCCGCUGAACUUAAGCAUCUCAAUAAGCGGAGGA
rnacentral:misc_RNA from 1 species